rnacentral:rRNA from 1 species
GACGAACCGAGCGAACGUUAUUCGGAAUCACUGGGCUUAAAGGGCGCGUAGGCGGGCGGCCAAGUCAAGGGUGAAAGCCCCCAGCUCAACUGGGGAAGUGCCUCUGAUACUGGCCAUCUCGAGCGAGGUAGGGGCGUGCGGAACUUCCGGUGGAGCGGUGAAAUGCGUAGAUAUCGGAAGGAACACCGGUGGCGAAAGCGGCGCGCUGGACCUCUUCUGACGCUGAGGCGCGAAAGCCAGGGGAGCAAACGGG